CACCAAUCAAGCACCGCUUGGUAUUGGGCGCACCCAGGCCGGUCCCUCCGCGGCCGGCCCGCCCGAAAUGCAUCGGCGAGGCACCGACCCCCGGCGUGUUAGAAUUUCGAAACGUCGAGAGCACCGGUCGCCCGAGCCGCGAAACCUUUUAUCAUUUUCUCAAA
rnacentral:misc_RNA from 1 species